AAGUGCUCCUCAACAGUGGCUGUCAAGAGAUGAGAUCUGGAUGGUAAGCUGAUGGAACGAGAAUGAGCACUAACUUUUGUGGUUGCAAUUGAGGCUGCCAUUUUUAUUUGCAGGAGGAAUUAGAUGCCAAUGAAAAUCCUGAACUCAAGGUUUGUUUGAUUGAACUCUCACCUUGGCACCUUUUUAUAAACUAUGAGGAGACAAAAGGAAUCAACUUAAUUUCCUUCAUGUGCCGAACAGAGAAACAGGCCAAGGUAACUAGGGGCUGAGGGCAAAACAGGCUAGAAUAGGGAUUAGUGACUCGGGUUGACCUAGCAAUGCAGUUUGUAAAAUUUUGUGUGUGAUUACUAUAUUAUAGUUUGAUUAUAUAUCUGGAUGAUCUGAAUUUUAAAGCUAUUUGCACUCAAAUCGCAAUUAAUCUUCUGUGUAUGUUUAUAUUAAUAUGAAUUGCCACCCGGAUCCGGUCUACUUCUAGUUUACAUUAGAUAGAUAAUUACAGUAUUGAUUGCGAGAAAAGAAUUGGGGACGGGUAUAACUCCUUUUUUUGACCCUGCACUGCGUUCUUAUUUGCGGUUUUGGGAUAUGUGAUGGGUAUGAGAAGGAUCCUGUUGCAGAAAUAUAUAUAUUUUGCAAAUUGUGUUGUUGAUGAAAUAUACGCGAAACCGAAUAUUGACUUUAAACAGUUGUUUUCGCAAUCUUUCUCGUUGAUAAUAUACUAGCUUCACAUACAGUCUGUACUCAUGUAUGUACAAAAACUGAUCCCUCACAAAAAUUCGGGGAUGCAGUAAUAGUCUAUCUAAUAGACAAUUCUGUUGGAAAAGAACUAGUGGUUGAGCACAUUGAGAAUUAAUACUCGUGUCUUGAUCAAUGAUCGGACUAGACAGUCUAAUUGUUCUUCACAUUCUUGCAUAUUCAUGUCCAAUGCCGUCAGACAUUUCUGAACGUCUUCUGUUUCUGUGAUAUCACUUUUUUUGCUUGAUUUCUUGCUGAUAGCUUCUAAAGCCAUAUCCAUGUUGUGAACUUGGUUGAUAAUUUCUUCUGUGUCCUCUUCACAAUGUACACGCUUGGACUGUGUUGACUUGAAAACCUUUGACCAUGUGCUUUUUGUCGAUGCUUCCUUUGCAGGACAGAUGGAUGAGAAGAUAGACUCGAAAACUGAGAUGCUGACUUCUUCGACUUCCCUUAGAAGGCUCACGAUAGCAGGAGUCUCGAUGCUUUUGUUAAUUUUGGACUUCUUAGAACCAGCAAAGCACUUGGAGAGCAUUCUGUUUGCCUUUUUCUUACAUACCAGGUAGCUUGCGAUUCUGCUUGAUACAUCAGUUUGUCUUCUACGUAGAGAGGAUUCUAGAUCUUGAACUGAAUCUCUCAUAUGCGAGAGAGCAUCUUUUGAGGUGCUGCACAGAUCCAAUAACCUAAUGGACCCGCAAAGAAUAUCUUCUCCGCAGCUCAAACGAUCUUGCUGUGCGGCUUGCGAUUGGAUCAAAUCUUCUACACACUCAUAUAAGUCUUGAAGAGCGGAUAAUUUGUCGCAUUUGGAUACUGUCGAUGAGGAUGCCCCUUCCGGGGUCCUUAAUCUGCACAAGUGCUCCUCAACAGUGGCUGUCAAGGGAUGAGAUCUGGAUGGUAAGCUGAUGGAACGAGAAUGAGCACUAACUUUUGUGGUUGCAAUUGAGGCUGCCAUUUUUAUUUGCAGGAGGAAUUAGAUGCCAAUGAAAAUCCUGAACUCAAGGUUUGUUUGAUUGAACUCUCACCUUGGCACCUUUUUAUAAACUAUGAGGAGACAAAAGGAAUCAACCUAAUUUCCUUCAUGUGCUGAACAGAGAAACAGGCCAAGUAUCAGAAAAUGCAGAUCUCAAUUGUAGCAGUGUCUGUGGGAGGAGGAACAUUUGCUUGGCACAAAAUAAUAUAAUAUGCAAGAAACCAGGCUGGCGUUCAUCUGCAAAUUUUGGUAAGUUUUCUAAUAUGAAAACAAGUUAAGACCAGGGGUAUAAUUUUGCAUCUCAUGUGUUAUAUAUUAAAGUUGUCUUGAAAUUCAUAUACAUUGCAUUAUUUUUUGCAUCUUGUUGUUAGACAUGUUGUAUAUUAUUGUUAAGUAAAACAGCGCAUGAAUGGCUUGGCAUUUUUUUUAUGCAUAGAAUUAGUGAGGGCCUUUAUUGCUCCAUUCGGUCUCUAGCGAUGCAGAGCUGAACACUUGAGAUCUGUCAUUAUGUGUACUGGGUAGACAGAAGGAAUCUGAACAGCCUGCAGUCAGUUUGCAAGAACCAUUAAGGUGUGACUAGGUGUCCUGGUAACUAGGGGCUGAGGGCAAAACAGGCUAGAAUAGGGAUUAGUGACUCGGGUUGACCGAGCAAUGCAGUUUGUAAAAUUUUGUGUGUGAUUACUAUAUUAUAGUUUGAUUAUAUAUCUGGAUGAUCUGAAUUUUAAAGCUACUUGCACUCAAAUCGCAAUUAAUCUUCUGUGUAUGUUUAUAUUAAUAUGAAUUGCCACCCGGAUCCGGUCUACUUCUAGUUCACAUUAGAUAGAUAAUUACAGUAUUGAUUGCCAGAAAAGAAUUGGGGACGGGUAUAACUCCUUUUUUUGACCCUGCACUGCGUUCUUAUCUGCGGUUUUGGGAUAGUGUGAUGGGUAUGAGAAGGAUCCUGCUGCAGAAAUAUAUAUAUUUUGCAAAUUGUGUUGUUGAUGAAAUAUACGCGAAACUGAAUAUUGACUUUAAACAGUUGUUUUCGCAAUCUUUCUCGUUGAUAAUAUACUAGCUUCAUAUACAGUCUGUCCUCAUGUAUGUACAAAAACUGAUCCCUCACAAAAAUUCGGGGAUGCAGUAACAGUCUAUCUAAUAUACAGUUCUGUUGGAAAAGAACUAGUGGUUGAGCACAUUGAGAAUUAAUACUCGUGUCUUGAUCAAUGAUCGGACUAGACAGUCUAAUUGUUCUUCACAUUCUUGCAUAUUCAUGUCCAAUGCCGUCAGACAUUUCUGAACGUCUUGUGUUUCUGUGAUAUCACUUUUUUUGCUUGAUUUCUUGCUGAUAGCUUCUAAAGCCAUAUCCAUGUUGUGAACUUGGUUGAUAAUUUCUUCUGUGUCCUCUUCACAAUGUACACGCUUGGACUGUGUUGACUUGAAAACCUUUGACCAUGUGCUUUUUGUCGAUGCUUCCUUUGCAGGACAGAUGGAUGAGAAGAUAGACUCGAAAACUGAGAUGCUGACUUCUUCGACUUCCCUUAGAAGGCUCACGAUAGCAGGAGUCUCGAUGCUUUUGUUAAUUUUGGACUUCUUAGAACCAGCAAAGCACUUGGAGAGCAUUCUGUUUGCCUUUUUCUUACAUACCAGGUAGCUUGCGAUUCUGCUUGAUACAUCAGUUUGUCUUCUACGUAGAGAGGAUUCUAGAUCUUGAACUGAAUCUCUCAUAUGCGAGAGAGCAUCUUUUGAGGUGCUGCACAGAUCCAAUAACCUAAUGGACCCGCAAAGAAUAUCUUCUCCGCAGCUCAAACGAUCUUGCUGUGCGGCUUGCGAUUGGAUCAAAUCUUCUACACACUCAUAUAAGUCUUGAAGAGCGGAUAAUUUGUCGCAUUUGGAUACUGUCGAUGAGGAUGUCCCUUCCGGGGUCCUUAAUCUGCACAAGUGCUCCUCAACAGUGGCUGUCAAGAGAUGAGAUCUGGAUGGUAAGCUGAUGGAACGAGAAUGAGCACUAACUUUUGUGGUUGCAAUUGAGGCUGCCAUUUUUAUUUGCAGGAGGAAUUAGAUGCCAAUGAAAAUCCUGAACUCAAGGUUUGUUUGAUUGAACUCUCACCUUGGCACCUUUUUAUAAACUAUGAGGAGACAAAAGGAAUCAACUUAAUUUCCUUCAUGUGCCGAACAGAGAAACAGGCCAAGUAUCAGAAAAUGCAGAUCUCAAUUGUAGCAGUGUCUGUGGGAGGAGGAACAUUUGCUUGGCACAAAAUAAUAUAAUAUGCAAGAAACCAGGCUGGCGUUCAUCUGCAAAUUUUGGUAAGUUUUCUAAUAUGAAAACAAGUUAAGACCAGGGGUAUAAUUUUGCAUCUCAUGUGUCAUAUAUUAAAGUUGUCUUGAAAUUCAUAUACAUUGCAUUAUUUUUUGCAUCUUGUUGUUAGACAUGUUGUAUAUUAUUGUUAAGUAAAACAGCGCAUGAAUGGCUUGGCAUUUUUUUUAUGCAUAGAAUUAGUGAGGGCCUUUAUUGCUCCAUUCGGUCUCUAGCGAUGCAGAGCUGAACACUUGAGAUCUGUCAUUAUGUGUACUGGGUAGACAGAAGGAAUCUGAACAGCCUGCAGUCAGUUUGCAAGAACCAUUAAGGUGUGACUAGGUGUCCUGGUAACUAGGGGCUGAGGGCAAAACAGGCUAGAAUAGGGAUUAGUGACUCGGGUUGACCUAGCAAUGCAGUUUGUAAAAUUUUGUGUGUGAUUACUAUAUUAUAGUUUGAUUAUAUAUCUGGAUGAUCUGAAUUUUAAAGCUAUUUGCACUCAAAUCGCAAUUAAUCUUCUGUGUAUGUUUAUAUUAAUAUGAAUUGCCACCCGGAUCCGGUCUACUUCUAGUUUACAUUAGAUAGAUAAUUACAGUAUUGAUUGCCAGAAAAGAAUUGGGGACGGGUAUAACUCCUUUUUUUGACCCUGCACUGCGUUCUUAUUUGCGGUUUUGGGAUAGUGUGAUGGGUAUGAGAAGGAUCCUGCUGCAGAAAUAUAUAUAUUUUGCAAAUUGUGUUGUUGAUGAAAUAUACGCGAAACUGAAUAUUGACUUUAAACAGUGAAACCAGGCUGGCGUUCAUCUGCAAAUUUUGGUAAGUUUUCUAAUAUGAAAAUAAGUUAAGACCAGGGGUAUAAUUUUGCAUCUCAUGUGUCAUAUAUUAAAGUUGUCUUGAAAUUCAUAUACAUUGCUUUAUUUUUUGCAUCUUGUUGUUAGACAUGUUGUAUAUUAUUGUUAAGUAAAACAGCGCAUGAAUGGCUUGGCAUUUUUUUUAUGCAUAGAAUUAGUGAGGGCCUUUAUUGCUCCAUUCGGUCUCUAGCGAUGCAGAGCUGAACACUUGAGAUCUGCCAUUAUGUGUACUGGGUAGACAGAAGGAAUCUGAACAGCCUGCAAUCAGUUUGCAAGAACCAUUAAGGUGUGACUAGGUGUCCUGGUAACUAGGGGCUGAGGGCAAAACAGGCUAGAAUAGGGAUUAGUGACUCGGGUUGACCUAGCAAUGCAGUUUGUAAAAUUUUGUGUGUGAUUACUAUAUUAUAGUUUGAUUAUAUAUCUGGAUGAUCUGAAUUUUAAAGCUAUUUGCACUCAAAUCGCAAUUAAUCUUCUGUGUAUGUUUAUAUUAAUAUGAACUGCCACCCGGAUCCGGUCUACUUCUCGUUUACAUUAGAUAGAUAAUUACAGUAUUGAUUGCCAGAAAAGAAUUGGGGACGGGUAUAACUCCUUUUUUUGACCCUGCACUGCGUUCUUAUCUGCGGUUUUGGGAUAGUGUGAUGGGUAUGAGAAGGAUCCUGCUGCAGAAAUAUAUAUAUUUUGCAAAUUGUGUUGUUGAUGAAAUAUACGCGAAACUGAAUAUUGACUUUAAACAGUUGUUUUCGCAAUCUUUCUCGUUGAUAAUAUACUAGCUUCAUAUACAGUCUGUCCUCAUGUAUGUACAAAAACUGAUCCCUCACAAAAAUUCGGGGAUGCAGUAACAGUCUAUCUAAUAUACAGUUCUGUUGGGAAAGAACUAGUGGUUGAGCACAUUGAGAAUUAAUACUCGUGUCUUGAUCAAUGAUCGGACUAGACAGUCUAAUUGUUCUUCACAUUCUUGCAUAUUCAUGUCCAAUGCCGUCAGACAUUUCUGAACGUCUUGUGUUUGUGUGAUAUCACUUUUUUUGCUUGAUUUCUUGCUGAUAGCUUCUAAAGCCAUAUCCAUGUUGUGAACUUGGUUGAUAAUUUCUUCUGUGUCCUCUUCACAAUGUACACGCUUGGACUGUGUUGACUUGAAAACCUUUGACCAUGUGCUUUUUGUCGAUGCUUCCUUUGCAGGACAGAUGGAUGAGAAGAUAGACUCGAAAACUGAGAUGCUGACUUCUUCGACUUCCCUUAGAAGGCUCACGAUAGCAGGAGUCUCGAUGCUUUUGUUAAUUUUGGACUUCUUAGAACCAGCAAAGCACUUGGAGAGCAUUCUGUUUGCCUUUUUCUUACAUACCAGGUAGCUUGCGAUUCUGCUUGAUACAUCAGUUUGUCUUCUACGUAGAGAGGAUUCUAGAUCUUGAACUGAAUCUCUCAUAUGCGAGAGAGCAUCUUUUGAGGUGCUGCACAGAUCCAAUAACCUAAUGGACCCGCAAAGAAUAUCUUCUCCGCAGCUCAAACGAUCUUGCUGUGCGGCUUGCGAUUGGAUCAAAUCUUCUACACACUCAUAUAAAUCUUGAAGGGCGGAUAAUUUGUCGCAUUUGGAUACUGUCGAUGAGGAUGUCCCUUCCGGGGUCCUUAAUCUGCACAAGUGCUCCUCAACAGUGGCUGUCAAGAGAUGAGAUCUGGAUGGUAAGCUGAUGGAACGAGAAUGAGCACUAACUUUUGUGGUUGCAAUUGAGGCUGCCAUUUUUAUUUGCAGGAGGAAUUAGAUGCCAAUGAAAAUCCUGAACUCAAGGUUUGUUUGAUUGAACUCUCACCUUGGCACCUUUUUAUAAACUAUGAGGAGACAAAAGGAAUCAACCUAAUUUCCUUCAUUUGCUGAACAGAGAAAGAGGCCAAGUAUCAGAAAAUGCAGAUCUCAAUUGUAGCAGUGUCUGUGGGAGGAGGAACAUUUGCUUGGCACAAAAUAAUAUAAUAUGCAAGAAACCAGGCUGGCGUUCAUCUGCAAAUUUUGGUAAGUUUUCUAAUAUGAAAACAAGUUAAGACCAGGGGUAUAAUUUUGCAUCUCAUGUGUUAUAUAUUAAAGUUGUCUUGAAAUUCAUAUACAUUGCAUUAUUUUUUGCAUCUUGUUGUUAGACAUGUUGUAUAUUAUUGUUAAGUAAAACAGCGCAUGAAUGGCUUGGCAUUUUUUUUAUGCAUAGAAUUAGUGAGGGCCUUUAUUGCUCCAUUCGGUCUCUAGCGAUGCAGAGCUGAACACUUGAGAUCUGUCAUUAUGUGUACUGGGUAGACAGAAGGAAUCUGAACAGCCUGCAGUCAGUUUGCAAGAACCAUUAAGGUGUGACUAGGUGUCCUGGUAACUAGGGGCUGAGGGCAAAACAGGCUAGAAUAGGGAUUAGUGACUCGGGUUGACCCAGCAAUGCAGUUUGUAAAAUUUUGUGUGUGAUUACUAUAUUAUAGUUUGAUUAUAUAUCUGGAUGAUCUGAAUUUUAAAGCUAUUUGCACUCAAAUCGCAAUUAAUCUUCUGUGUAUGUUUAUAUUAAUAUGAAUUGCCACCCGGAUCCGGUCUACUUCUAGUUCACAUUAGAUAGAUAAUUACAGUAUUGAUUGCCAGAAAAGAAUUGGGGACGGGUAUAACUCCUUUUUUUGACCCUGCACUGCGUUCUUAUAUGCGGUUUUGGGAUAGUGUGAUGGGUAUGAGAAGGAUCCUGCUGCAGAAAUAUAUAUAUUUUGCAAAUUGUGGUGUUGAUGAAAUAUACGCGAAACUGAAUAUUGACUUUAAACAGUUGUUUUCGCAAUCUUUCUCGUUGAUAAUAUACUAGCUUCAUAUACAGUCUGUCCUCAUGUAUGUACAAAAACUGAUCCCUCACAAAAAUUCGGGGAUGCAGUAACAGUCUAUCUAAUAUACAGUUCUGUUGGGAAAGAACUAGUGGUUGAGCACAUUGAGAAUUAAUACUCGUGUCUUGAUCAAUGAUCGGACUAGACAGUCUAAUUGUUCUUCACAUUCUUGCAUAUUCAUGUCCAAUGCCGUCAGACAUUUCUGAACGUCUUGUGUUUCUGUGAUAUCACUUUUUUUGCUUGAUUUCUUGCUGAUAGCUUCUAAAGCCAUAUCCAUGUUGUGAACUUGGUUGAUAAUUUCUUCUGUGUCCUCUUCACAAUGUACACGCUUGGACUGUGUUGACUUGAAAACCUUUGACCAUGUGCUUUUUGUCGAUGCUUCCUUUGCAGGACAGAUGGAUGAGAAGAUAGACUCGAAAACUGAGAUGCUGACUUCUUCGACUUCCCUUAGAAGGCUCACGAUAGCAGGAGUCUCGAUGCUUUUGUUAAUUUUGGACUUCUUAGAACCAGCAAAGCACUUGGAGAGCAUUCUGUUUGCCUUUUUCUUACAUACCAGGUAGCUUGCGAUUCUGCUUGAUACAUCAGUUUGUCUUCUACGUAGAGAGGAUUCUAGAUCUUGAACUGAAUCUCUCAUAUGCGAGAGAGCAUCUUUUGAGGUGCUGCACAGAUCCAAUAACCUAAUGGACCCGCAAAGAAUAUCUUCUCCGCAGCUCAAACGAUCUUGCUGUGCGGCUUGCGAUUGGAUCAAAUCUUCUACACACUCAUAUAAGUCUUGAAGAGCGGAUAAUUUGUCGCAUUUGGAUACUGUCGAUGAGGAUGUCCCUUCCGGGGUCCUUAAUCUGCACAAGUGCUCCUCAACAGUGGCUGUCAAGGGAUGAGAUCUGGAUGGUAAGCUGAUGGAACGAGAAUGAGCACUAACUUUUGUGGUUGCAAUUGAGGCUGCCAUUUUUAUUUGCAGGAGGAAUUAGAUGCCAAUGAAAAUCCUGAACUCAAGGUUUGUUUGAUUGAACUCUCACCUUGGCACCUUUUUAUAAACUAUGAGGAGACAAAAGGAAUCAACCUAAUUUCCUUCAUGUGCUGAACAGAGAAACAGGCCAAGUAUCAGAAAAUGCAGAUCUCAAUUGUAGCAGUGUCUGUGGGAGGAGGAACAUUUGCUUGGCACAAAAUAAUAUAAUAUGCAAGAAACCAGGCUGGCGUUCAUCUGCAAAUUUUGGUAAGUUUUCUAAUAUGAAAACAAGUUAAGACCAGGGGUAUAAUUUUGCAUCUCAUGUGUUAUAUAUUAAAGUUGUCUUGAAAUUCAUAUACAUUGCAUUAUUUUUUGCAUCUUGUUGUUAGACAUGUUGUAUAUUAUUGUUAAGUAAAACAGCGCAUGAAUGGCUUGGCAUUUUUUUUAUGCAUAGAAUUAGUGAGGGCCUUUAUUGCUCCAUUCGGUCUCUAGCGAUGCAGAGCUGAACACUUGAGAUCUGUCAUUAUGUGUACUGGGUAGACAGAAGGAAUCUGAACAGCCUGCAGUCAGUUUGCAAGAACCAUUAAGGUGUGACUAGGUGUCCUGGUAACUAGGGGCUGAGGGCAAAACAGGCUAGAAUAGGGAUUAGUGACUCGGGUUGACCUAGCAAUGCAGUUUGUAAAAUUUUGUGUGUGAUUACUAUAUUAUAGUUUGAUUAUAUAUCUGGAUGAUCUGAAUUUUAAAGCUAUUUGCACUCAAAUCGCAAUUAAUCUUCUGUGUAUGUUUAUAUUAAUAUGAAUUGCCACCCGGAUCCGGUCUACUUCUAGUUUACAUUAGAUAGAUAAUUACAGUAUUGAUUGCCAGAAAAGAAUUGGGGAAGGGUAUAACUCCUUUUUAGACCCUGCACUGCGUUCUUAUUUGCGGUUUUGGGAUAGUGUGAUGGGUAUGAGCAGGAUCCUGCUGCAGAAAUAUAUAUAUUUUGCAAAUUGUGUUGUUGAUGAAAUAUACGCGAAACUGAAUAUUGACUUUAAACAGUCGUUUUCGCAAUCUUUCUCGUUGAUAAUAUACUAGCUUCAUAUACAGUCUGUCCUCAUGUAUGUACAAAAACUGAUCCCUCACAAAAAUUCGGGGAUGCAGUAACAGUCUAUCUAAUAUACAGUUCUGUUGGAAAAGAACUAGUGGUUGAGCACAUUGAGAAUUAAUACUCGUGUCUUGAUCAAUGAUCGGACUAGACAGUCUAAUUGUUCUUCACAUUCUUGCAUAUUCAUGUCCAAUGCCGUCAGACAUUUCUGAACGUCUUGUGUUUCUGUGAUAUCACUUUUUUUGCUUGAUUUCUUGCUGAUAGCUUCUAAAGCCAUAUCCAUGUUGUGAACUUGGUUGAUAAUUUCUUCUGUGUCCUCUUCACAAUGUACACGCUUGGACUGUGUUGACUUGAAAACCUUUGACCAUGUGCUUUUUGUCGAUGCUUCCUUUGCAGGACAGAUGGAUGAGAAGAUAGACUCGAAAACUGAGAUGCUGACUUCUUCGACUUCCCUUAGAAGGCUCACGAUAGCAGGAGUCUCGAUGCUUUUGUUAAUUUUGGACUUCUUAGAACCAGCAAAGCACUUGGAGAGCAUUCUGUUUGCCUUUUUCUUACAUACCAGGUAGCUUGCGAUUCUGCUUGAUACAUCAGUUUGUCUUCUACGUAGAGAGGAUUCUAGAUCUUGAACUGAAUCUCUCAUAUGCGAGAGAGCAUCUUUUGAGGUGCUGCACAGAUCCAAUAACCUAAUGGACCCGCAAAGAAUAUCUUCUCCGCAGCUCAAACGAUCUUGCUGUGCGGCUUGCGAUUGGAUCAAAUCUUCUACACACUCAUAUAAGUCUUGAAGAGCGGAUAAUUUGUCGCAUUUGGAUACUGUCGAUGAGGAUGUCCCUUCCGGGGUCCUUAAUCUGCACAAGUGCUCCUCAACAGUGGCUGUCAAGGGAUGAGAUCUGGAUGGUAAGCUGAUGGAACGAGAAUGAGCACUAACUUUUGUGGUUGCAAUUGAGGCUGCCAUUUUAUUUGCAGGAGGAAUUAGAUGCCAAUGAAAAUCCUAAACUCAAGGUUUGUUUGAUUGAACUCUCACGUUGGCACCUUUUUAUAAACUAUGAGGAGACAAAAGGACUCAACCUAAUUUCCUUCAUGUGCUGAACAGAGAAACAGGCCAAGUAUCAGAAAAUGCAGAUCUCAAUUGUAGCAGUGUCUGUGGGAGGAGGAACAUUUGCUUGGCUUAAAUUAAUAAUGGACCAGGCUGGCGAUCAUCUUCAAAUUUUGGUAAGUUUAUUGAUAUGAAGAUAAAAUGAGACAAUGCGUAUAAUUUGUCCAUUGGUAUGUUAUAUAUAAAAGCUGUCUUCCUAUCCAUGUACAUUGCAUCAUUUGUCUCAUCUUGUUACAAAUGUUAAUAUUAGAAAAUACAACCGUGCUUGAAUGGCUUGGAUAUUUUAUCAGAGAAUUGGAGGGGGCCUUUAUUGUUGCAUGUGAUUUUUAACUAUGCAGAAAUGAACUCUUAUGAUCUGUCUUUAAUUAUGUUGGCUGGACUGGAGGAAUCGGUAGAGCCUGCAAUUAGUCCUUAAAAUGAUAUAUGCAGGUCAUUAUUUAUUAUUAAGAAUUAAAAAGAGGUUAGAGCAGGGACCAGUCAGAUAGUUGACCUAGUGUUGCAGUUCACAAAGUUGUGGAAGUACAAUAUUUGAGCUUUGGUUAUUAAUAUCUGUUAUUUUCUUGCUAAAACUAUUUUGCUGCAUAAUAUCCGUGACUUUUAUCUAGGAAACUCUGUCUAUAUGUAUUAUAUUAUGCUUUUUAACACGAUUCCUGCCUAGCUCAUGUUUUACUGCUAAUGGAAAGUUGCUGUCUGAAUCUGCAAAUAAAAAAGAAAGAAUAUUAAGUACCAUUGUAUAAUUGCCUUGCAACUUUUUUAUUAUUAUUAACGAUUGAUUAAAAAGGGACAAACUAAUUCCGCAAAUGGUAGACUUUUUUUAUCUUUUUUGAAGAAAAUCGAAACUUGAUAUGCAAUCAUCGUUGCAUAAUCUUUUCACUUUAAUUUUACUAUAAGUCAUGUAUAGUUUCUAUAUAUUCAUUUACAUCAACUCUUUUGUCACAAUUUUUUGGAUGCAGUACAAUACCACAAUCCUACCUAAUAUAAGGUUGUUUUUAGAAAGAAUUGGUUGAGCACAUUCGAUCAGACAUCUCUAGAUGUAUCGUGCUCCUGAUGCCAUUUCUUAUUCUUUUGAAUUUCCGAGCCAUGUCCAUUUUUUGAAUUUGCUCGAAAUUUUGUCUCUGUCCACUUGAUGUUGUACACAUUUGGCUUGUGUUUACUGGAAGUUUUCUUUUAAUGUUUGCUUUACAGAACAGAUGGAAGAGAAGAUUGAGCUGAAUACUGUUAUGCUGACUUCUUUAACGUCUCUCAGAAUGCUCAUUUGCAGGAGUCUUGAUGCUUCUAAUCAGAAGCUCUUGUUUGCGAUAAAGCAUGGUUUUAGGUGCUGCAUAAAUCAAAUGAACUAAUAGACAUGUUAAGAAUAUCUUUUCCUUUUAACUUUUUUUUAGCGGCUGGUAGUUCGAGGGUCUUACACACUCAAGCAAGUUGUGCAGCGCAAUAAUUUGUUGCAAUCAGAUAUUCUGAAGUAUACACACACACACACACACACACACAUACUUAUUAUUUCCAUAUUCUAUUCACUACUGACAGUCUGAGGGAUAAUUUUUGGAUGGAAAGCUCAUGGAACGAAAAUGAACAGUCUUUUCUUGACCAUGAUCCUUGCAAGUACAUUAGAUGCCCAUGAAUGCUAAACUCAACUUUAGUUUGAUAAACCUCUUCUAUAAGUGCCCUGUGUGUGUUUUUCUAGAGAGAAAAUGAACAUAUUGUUGUAACUUGAUAUUUCCAAUGUGUUCAACAUUGAAACUUGC
rnacentral:lncRNA from 1 species